rnacentral:snRNA from 1 species
AGCUUUGCGCAGUGGCGAUAUCGUAACCAAUGAGGUACAACCGAGGUGCGAUUAUUGCUAGUUGAAAAAAAAAAGUCU